rnacentral:piRNA from 1 species
UUGUGUGUGAUGGCUGCGGUUACCCUG